rnacentral:rRNA from 1 species
AUUGAACGCUGGCGGCAGGCCUACCACAUGCAAGUCGACCGGAUGAAGGGAGCUUGCUCUUCGAUUCAGCGGCGGACGGGUGAGUAAUGCCUAGGAAUCUGCCUGGUAGUGGGGGUUAACGUCCCGAAACGGGCGCUAAUACCGCAUACGUCCUGUGGGCGAAAGCGGGGGAUCUUCGGACCUCACGCUAUCAGAUGAGCCUAGGUCGGAUUAGCUAGUUGGUGGGGUAAAGGCCUACCCAGGCGACGAUCCGUAACUGGUCUGAGAGGAUGAUCAGUCGCACUGGAACUGGGACACGGUCCAGACGCCUGCGGGAGGCAGCAGUGGGGAAUAUUGGACAAUGGGCGAAAGCGUGAUCCAGCCAUGCCGCGUGUGUGAAGAAGGUCUUCGGAUUGUGAAGCACUGUAAGUUGGGAGGAAGGGCAGUAAGUUAAUACCUUGCUGUUUUGACGGUACCAACAGAAUAAGCACCGGCUAACUUCGUG